CAGGGCGCGGACCAGCUGGGUGUGCUGCAUCCCGUACACGACCAGGAGGAAGGUGAAGGACGGCGCGUAGCCGCGCAGCAGGACGCCAGGCGGAGCGCGGCGCGGACCAUGCCUGCCUCCACGCGGAAGACCCUCCCCGCCCUGACACAGGCCCGAGGCGGACGACCAGCCGGCGUGAGCCCCGCACACGACCGCUGCCCGCUGGGGCGCGGCGACCCCGGCAUCUCUUCGGAAGACACAAUAAAUGCGUUAGGGGACAGGC